UUAUUAGAAAAUAUUGUUUCUUUGUUUCAAUAUCCUGGAAAAAAAUCAUGCUAGCCUAAUCGCCCUGUCCUUGUCUCUCCUGCAACUGUUGUAUCGCCCUCUCUGUCCUUAUCCCGGGGUUUCCUACUUUUUCCGCAACUGUCGCUGAAGUCAACUCGAAGUUUGGCUCUGGCUCCUGCGCACCCUUAAGACAGAAGAAAAAAAUUUCACCAGAUACUGCAAGAAAUAAUGCACAAGAAACAGGAAUGUUGCCUUGUAAUACGUGUGUGCACGCAGUAAAACUACAAUAGUAGUAUUAGCAGUGCGACAUAUUUUAUUAUAUUUCACAUCAAGAAGAGGAGCAUAUAACAUCAUCAAUAAAAGAUCUUUGAUUGAUAUAAGCAGCGACAGUCAUUCCAAUAAGAAAAAACGAAGGGAUGAAUUGCUUAUUUUAUGAAGCAAAUAAUUUGCUGACGAAGCAACAGUAUUUUGGUGCUCUCCAAAGAUAGGAGUUGCCGCUGUGAAAUUCUAGUAUUUUAUCUGAGUGAAGGAUAUCUGGUAGUAAUUAUUAAAAUACCACAAGAUGAAUCGUGCAAGUAUUACAGGAAAUACGAUAAAGUUUGACAGCUAUAUUGAAAUUUGCCAGUUAAAAUAUACUACGAUCUGACAGAGUGUACAACGGAAGGAAUUAAGUGAGCUAUAAUUGAAGUAUAAGAUGAUGAUGAGCGGUGUGCGUAACAAAUUUGCUGGUAUUUGUAUUAAUUUAUGAAUUGAACGAAUAAAUAUUUGUAAUUAAUAAAUUAAUAUCAUAUGAAAUAUAUACAUUCACUUUCUUUACCUGCUCUCCUUUUAUUUUCUUCUCUUCAAUUAAAAAAAUAAGAAGUCUGUGUAUUUGUCGCAGGGAAAUGAUAAAAAUAGAGAUUUGAUCAAAUCUCUAAGGUAGAUGAUUAAUUCACGGGUGAUGUUAAAAUAACAACUAUGUGAGGUUAUUUCCCUACAGAAAGUAAAUGAUUUGAUCAAAUCCCUUAACUGUUUUAGUGAAAAGAUGAAAUAAUAUUGUUUAGAUAUUGAAAGUAUUUAUUUAGUAAAUCAUGCGUUAUUAAAAGUAGAAUAGGUAAUGCAACAAUACUCAUAGAAACAUAAAUCAUUCAUUCGAGACUAAUUAGUAAAAGAAACAGGUACCUAAGCUGAUAUUUUAAAAAACAAAAAGAAUACUUUUAGGGAAUGUAAUUAAUAAAUAAUUUAUGUUUCUACGACUAUUGUUGUAUUAUCUUCUCAACACUUAAUAACGCAUGAAUUACUAAAUUAAUACUUUUAAUAUCUAAAUAAUAUUAUUCCAUCUUUUCACUAAAACAGUCAAGGGAUUUGAUCAAAUCAUAUUAUUUCAUCUUUUCACUAAAACAGUUAAGGGAUUUAAUCAAAUCACUUACUUUCUUUAGGGAAAUGACCUCACAUAGUUGUUAUUUUAACAUCUCCCGUGAAUUGAUCAUCUACCUUAGGGAUUUGAUCAAAUCUCUAUUUUUAUCAUUUCUCUGCGACAUAUAUAAAUCACAAAACUGAACAAUUCAUUUUUACAUAUUAUUUCAUAUGGAUUAUUUUAGAUUAUAGAUAUUAAAAAUAUUAUAGAUAUAUUAUCAGUAACAUUAAAAUUUCUUGGAACAAGACUUUCUGUCAUGUGUCGUGCAUACUUUUGAGAAUUUAAAGAAUUAAAUCUGACCUCUCUUUUUCUAUAUUAUUGUAAUACAAUAAAUUAUGUGUUACAAAUA